rnacentral:rRNA from 1 species
AACGAACGCUGGCGGCAGGCUUAACACAUGCAAGUCGAACGCAUCCUUCGGGGUGAGUGGCAGACGGGUGAGUAACGCGUGGGAACGUGCCCUUCAGUUCGGGAUAACCCAGGGAAACUUGGGCUAAUACCGGAUACGUGCGAGAGCAGAAAGAUUUAUCGCUGAAGGAUCGGCCCGCGUCUGAUUAGCUAGUUGGUGGGGUAAUGGCCCACCAAGGCGACGAUAAGUAGCUGGUCUGAGAGGAUGAGCAGCCACAUUGGGACUGAGACACGGCCCAAACUCCUACGGGAGGCAGCAGUGGGGAAUAUUGGACAAUGGGCGCAAGCCUGAUCCAGCCAUGCCGCGUGAGUGAUGAAGGCCUUAGGGUUGUAAAGCUCUUUCGUCCGGGACGAUAAUGACGGUACCGGAAGAAGAAGCCCCGGCUAACUUCGUGCCAGCAGCCGCCGUAA